rnacentral:lncRNA from 1 species
CUUUGACUUAAACCCUUAACUCAAAUGAUUAAUUAAUUAACUGGAGUUAGGUUUAAUAUCGAUUGACUUAUUUACCCCCUAUUGAUUAAUAGUGUAAUUAGGGUUUAAAUUGACAUGAUUAAAAUAUAAUCCUAUGUCGACAAUUUUGAUUCUACAUUCUCCCCCUUUGUCGAUGGCAUAUAUGUUUUAACUCAUGUCUAGUCAAUAUUCUAUUUUA